rnacentral:sRNA from 1 species
UAUUGUGUGAUAUAAUAACUGAAGCAGAAAGUUAGUGACGGUUGGCCAAACUUGAUGUCAGGUGGUGGUGCUUAUGCAGUAUUUUGCGAAGUAUCCAAAAUCUACAGAAAGGAGUAGCCAUUUUGUUGUUAGGGAUUAUUCUAGCCGUAAUUUCUGGUGUAACAGUCAUUGCAUUGGCGCUUAAAAAAGCGUUAG